rnacentral:tRNA from 1 species
AAAAAUCUAGUUAAAACAUAACAAAAGAAUGUCAUUCUUUAAUUACGAAAAGUGAUUUUUA